GACGAACGCUGGCGGCGUGCUUAACACAUGCAAGUCGAACGGGCCUUGUCCCCUUUUUUUUGGGGGUGGGGUUAGUGGCGAACGGGUGAGUAACACGUGAGUAACCUGCCCCUCACUUCUGGAUAACCGCUUGAAAGGGUGGCUAAUACGGGGUGUUCUGGCCUGCUCGCAUGGGUGGGUAUGGAAAGAUUCGACCGGUUUUGGUUGUUUUUGUGGGGGAUGGGCUCGCGGCCUAUCAGCUUGUUGGUGGGGUGAUGGCCUGCCAAGGCUUUGACGGGUAGCCGGCCUGAGAGGGUGGGCGGUCACACUGGGACUGAGACACGGCCCAGACUCCUACGGGAGGCAGCAGUGGGGAAUAUUGCACAAUGGGCGCAAGCCUGAUGCAGCGACGCCGCGUGAGGGAUGGAGGCCUUCGGGUUGUGAACCUCUUUCGCCAGUGAAGAAGGUCCUGCUCUUUGUGGUGGGGUUGACGGUAGCUGGGUUAAUGAAGCGCCGGCUAACUACGUG
rnacentral:rRNA from 1 species